rnacentral:rRNA from 1 species
GAUCAUGGCUCAGGAUGAACGCUAGCUACAGGCUUAACACAUGCAAGUCGAGGGGCAGCAUCAUCAAAGCUUGCUUUGAUGGAUGGCGACCGGCGCACGGGUGAGUAACACGUAUCCAACCUGCCGACAACACUGGGAUAGCCUUUCGAAAGAAAGAUUAAUACCGGAUGGCAUAAUUAUUCCGCAUGGGAUAAUUAUUAAAGAAAUUUCGGUUGCCGAUGGGGAUGCGUU